rnacentral:rRNA from 1 species
CGGAGGAAAAGAAACUAACAAGGAUUCCCCUAGUAGCGGCGAGCGAAGCGGGAAGAGCUCAAAUUUAUAAUCUGGCACCUUCGGUGUCCGAGUUGUAAUCUCUAGAAGUGUUAUCCGCGUUGGACCGCACACAAGUCUGUUGGAAUACAGCGGCAUAGUGGUGAGACCCCCGUAUAUGGUGCGGACGCCCAACGCUUUGUGAUACACUUUCGAAGAGUCGAGUUGUUUGGGAAUGCAGCUCAAAUUGGGUGGUAAAUUCCAUCUAAAGCUAAAUAUUGGCGAGAGACCGAUAGCGAACAAGUACCGUGAGGGAAAGAUGAAAAGCACUUUGGAAAGAGAGUUAACAGUACGUGAAAUUGUUGGAAGGGAAACGCUUGAAGUCAGACUUGCUUGCCGAGCAAUCGGUUUGCAGGCCAGCAUCAGUUUUCCGGGGUGGAUAAUGGUAGAGAGAAGGUAGCAGUUUCGGCUGUGUUAUAGCUCUUUGCUGGAUACACCUUGGGGGACUGAGGAACGCAGUGUGCCUUACGGCGGAUUUCUCGAGAUCUUUCACACUUAAGAUGCUGGUGGAAUGGCUUUAAACGAC